GCCAUCCUUCGGAUGAGAUGUGCAGAGGAGUUUUGGGGUCUCUGACUGAGGAGAGAACACAUGGUUUUGACAGUGUAUCGAGGAGAAUAGUGCGGAGAGACAUCAUUUAAUGGCGUUGGGGCAUUUCAACCAGGACAACGGGAAAAUCUCUUCUGUCUUUCACAGCGGCAGGAAAAUCUUUUAAUAUCUCACUGAACAGGGACAGACGGGGUUUAACAUUCGGUUUAACUGGAGGACGGCGUCUCCACGCUCCCCCAGCACCACACUGGAGCAUCAGCCUACAUUAUAAUGUCUACCAGAGGCAGACGACACCUGGGAAGAGAGCACAUCGAGAGGCCCGGAGGAGGAAA